GACGAACGCUGGCGGCGCGCCUAACACAUGCAAGUCGAACGAGCGAGAGAGAGCUUGCUUUCUCAAGCGAGUGGCGAACGGGUGAGUAACGCGUGAGGAACCUGCCUCAAAGAGGGGGACAACAGUUGGAAACGACUGCUAAUACCGCAUAAGCCCACGGCUCGGCAUCGAGCAGAGGGAAAAGGAGCAAUCCGCUUUGAGAUGGCCUCGCGUCCGAUUAGCUAGUUGGUGAGGUAACGGCCCACCAAGGCGACGAUCGGUAGCCGGACUGAGAGGUUGAACGGCCACAUUGGUACUGAGACACGGCCCAGACUCCUACGGGAGGCAGCAGUGGGGAAUAUUGCACAAUGGGGGAAACCCUGAUGCAGCGACGCCGCGUGGAGGAAGAAGGUCUUCGGAUUGUAAACUCCUGUUGUUGAGGAAGAUAAUGACGGUACUCAACAAGGAAGUGACGGCUAACUACGUGCCAGCAGCCGCGGUAAAACGUAGGUCACAAGCGUUGUCCGGAAUUACUGGGUGUAAAGGGAGCGCAGGCGGGAAGACAAGUUGGAAGUGAAAUCCAUGGGCUCAACCCAUGAACUGCUUUCAAAACUGUUUUUCUUGAGUAGUGCAGAGGUAGGCGGAAUUCCCGGUGUAGCGGUGGAAUGCGUAGAUAUCGGGAGGAACACCAGUGGCGAAGGCGGCCUACUGGGCACCAACUGACGCUGAGGCUCGAAAGUGUGGGUAGCAAACAGGAUUAGAUACCCUGGUAGUCCACACUGUAAACGAAGGAUUACUAGGUGUUGGAGGAUUGACCCCUUCAGUGCCGCAGUUAACACAAUAAGUAAUCCACCUGGGGAGUACGACCGCAAGGUUGAAACUCAAAGGAAUUGACGGGGGCCCGCACAAGCAGUGGAGUAUGUGGUUUAAUUCGACGCAACGCGAAGAACCUUACCAAGUCUUGACAUCCCUUGACGAUGCUGGAAACAGUAUUUCUCUUCGGAGCAAGGAGACAGGUGGUGCAUGGUUGUCGUCAGCUCGUGUCGUGAGAUGUUGGGUUAAGUCCCGCAACGAGCGCAACCCUUAUGGUCAGUUACUACGCAAGAGGACUCUGGCCAGACUGCCGUUGACAAAACGGAGGAAGGUGGGGAUGACGUCAAAUCAUCAUGCCCUUUAUGACUUGGGCUACACACGUACUACAAUGGCGUUAAACAAAGAGAAGCAAGACCGCGAGGUGGAGCAAAACUCAGAAACAACGUCCCAGUUCGGACUGCAGGCUGCAACUCGCCUGCACGAAGUCGGAAUUGCUAGUAAUCGCAGAUCAGCAUGCUGCGGUGAAUACGUUCCCGGGCCUUGCAC
rnacentral:rRNA from 1 species